AGAAAAAGAAAUCUUCAGAAAUCUGAAGAAGAAAGAAGUGUUUCCAUAUGGGAAACUGAACUUGAGUGAUCUCAGAAACUUUUUAACCUGUCUUUGUCCCUUAGUCUUAUAGAUCCAUUUAAAAACAAAUGGCUAUUCCACAAAUAGUUUCACUAUCAGUUAAAGUAGUAGCUUUGCCUGCUUCCAUGGGCACCACCUUGAUGUUUUGUGCUGGUGUAUUGUGAAUUGGCUUGAGUAACUAGUCUGGAUUAAAACUAACCUGUAUCUUUUUCCCAGUUAAUCCUUGCAGAUUUGCAGAACACAAUGACAGCUACCACUGUGACAUUUAAAAAACCCACAGCCCAUAAUCCUAAACAAGUCCAAAACAAACUAAAAAAUCCACAGUGUAUCUCCAUUCCUCAAAGAACUAGGUUUCAAAUGAAUGGUGUGCUUAUUAAUUAAAAUACACAGCCUACUUCUUUUGAAUGCAGGCCAUUGCCUGUGUGUCCAACCACAAAGUUGGUAAUGAAACAUCGAAGGGAGCAUGGGGACAAGAACAAAACUCCAUGUACUGCUGUGCAAAUACUGUAGCUACUUUCAGAAUUGUGAAGAAUUUCAAUUCAGCCAAAAUCUACAGAUACAAACUUAGAAGAUGAGAGAAUUGGAAUAAAAGAGUGAAAUAAGUUCUGCUAUCUCGUUUGGACCUAUAUAAGAUAGUAAAGGGAUAAUGCACACUGUCUUACUAGAACGUGUAUACAGCAAAGUGUAGAAACUGGAAAGGUUUAUUUAUUUGAAGGAACUUCUAAAAAGACCAAAUCCCGAUAGUACUUGUCUAUGUUUGAAUUCAGAUAACUUAAACCUGGUUUUGUAUUUGUAGUCUAUUGCUUUCAUCUGUUGUUUCUUCCCUUCUAUUUUAGGAAAAAAACAGGAUUGUGCGUGUAAACAAGCUUGUUUUAAGGACCAAUACAAACUCAUAUUUUCUUCUGAAAACAGCUGAAAAUAGUGGAAUCCAUCAACAUACCAAAUGCCAAAAUGACUAAUUUGAGGUCUUAGCUGCCAGUGCUUAUUUGGAAGUUGUUCUUAGUGCCAUGUUGCUGUUGCUCCACCUCCAACGCGUGCGUUAUGUUACUCUGGCACAAAGCAGGCUGAUACCAGUGGAGCCUGCUUUGAUGACUGACUAGGGCCACCUGAUCAAGGAGAGCCAACUGAUGAAGCCUUCUUCCUCCAGCUACAGGAGGCUUCAUGCUUGCAAGCUCUCAUCCUACUUGGAGACUUCAACUACCCCAACAUAUGCUGGAAAAGUAGCACGGCAAGCUGUAGGCAAUCCAGGAGACUCCUGGAGUGCAUUGAAGACUCCAGAUGUUUUUGUUCUGUUACUAGAAUAUCCGGGUGAAACUUGCGUUGGAAUGUUACUGGAACAUUUGCAAUUGUGCCACUGUGAUGAAAAUCACAGAAUUAAAAUCACUUGAUUUAUCACAUCUCUAAAUAUGAACAGCUUGCUUGGACUUUUUUAUUUUUCUUAAAGGGUUGUGUUUUAAAGACAUUGACCGUUUCCCAUGGUACUGUCAGCUUUUUUCUUUGAGGUCAUUGGUAGAAGCUACAGCGUGUCUUGCUAUUCAUAGAUGUAUGUGUACUUGGAAGUUAAUGUGUCUUUAUAUUACUGGAAGUGAAUGUUCACCAGAGAUUUAUUUCAUGUGCACGA